ACUCUUGGUUAUUCUAAGAAGUGUAAUGAGGAUAAUUUAAAACCCUUACCGAAAGCAAUUGGAGGGCAAGUCUGGUGCCAGCAGCCGCGGUAAUUCCAGCUCCAAUAGCGUAUAUUAAAGUUGUUGCAGUUAAAAAGCUCGUAGUUGAAGUUCUGGCUGCUUGACCCUCGAGCUCUGUAGCCGAGGGCUCAGCAGUCAUCCGCUUGCAAAUAUAUGUUCGCCUUUAACCGGGCGGCUAUAUGAGUAAGCAUUUUACCUUGAGAAAAACAGAGUGUUCCAGGCAGGUUUGUCCGGAAUGCAUUAGCAUGGAAUAAUAGAAUAUGACUGAAGUCGAUCUAUUGGUUUGAGGCUUUAGUAAUGAUUAAUAGGAACAGUCGGGGGCAUUGGUACUUGUCAGUCAGAGGUGAAAUUCUAGGAUUUGACAAAGACUAACAAAUGCGAAAGCAUUUGCCAAGGAUGUUUUCAUUAAUCAAGAACGAAAGUUAGGGGAUCAAAGACGAUCAGAUACCGUCCUAGUCUUAACUAUAAACUAUACCGGCUCGGAUUCAGAUGAAUCAUAAAGUUCAUUUGGGACCGUAGGAGAAAUCAAAGUUUUUGGGUUCUGGGGGAAGUAUGGUCGCAAGGCUGAAACUUAAAGGAAUUGACGGUUUUGCACCACCAUGGAGUGGAGUCUGCGGCUUAAUUUGACUCAACACUGGGAAACUCAUCAGGGCAAGAAGAUUGUAGGAUUGACAGAUUGGGAGUUCUUUCUUGAUUGGUCUAGUGGUGGUGCAUGGCCGUUCUUAGUUGGUGGAGUGAUUUGUCUGGUUAAUUCCGUUAACGAACGAGACCUUAACCUGCUAACUAGUACACCGAUGACAAAUCGGUGAUACUUCUUAGGGACUAUGUGAUGUAAUCACAUGGAAGUUUGAGGCAAUAACAGGUCUGUGAUGCCCUUAGAUGUCCUGAGCUGCACGCGUACUACAAUGGUGCUUUCAUCGAGCUUUUCCUGAUCCGAAAGGAUUUGGGUAAUCUUUUUAGUGAGCACCGUGCUUGGGAUAGAUCUUUGUAAUUAUGGAUCUUGAACUAGGAAUUCCUAGUAAGCACGUGUCAUCAGCACGUGCUGAUUACGUCCCUGCAAAGUGUACACACCGCCCGUCGCUAUUACCGAUUGAGUGCAAAGGUGAGCCUUCUCGAUAGGCGCAAGCUUAGAAAUUAAGUAAACCUUUGCACUUAGAGGAAAUAAAAGUCGUAACAAGGUUUCCGUAGGUGAACCUGCGGAAG
rnacentral:rRNA from 1 species